rnacentral:rRNA from 1 species
UGAGGAAUAUUGCGCAAUGGGGGCAACCCUGACGCAGCAACGCCGCGUGAGUGAGGAAGGUUUUCGGACCGUAAAGCUCUGUCGAGCGGGAAGAAGUGUGUCAUGGCUAAUAUCCAUGAUACUUGACGGUACCGCUAAAGGAAGCACCGGCUAACUCCGUGCCAGCAGCCGCGGUCAUACGGUGGGUGCAAGCGUUGUUCGGAAUUAUUGGGCGUAAAGAGCGUGUAGGCGGCUAGAUAAGUCAGAUGUGAAAUCCCUGGGCUUAACCCAGGACGGGCAUUUGAAACUAUCUAGCUUGAGUAAGGGAGAGGAAAGUGGAAUUCCUGGUGUAGAGGUGAAAUUCGUAGAUAUCAGGAGGAACACCGGUGGCGAAGGCGACUUUCUGGCCCUAUACUGACGCUGAGACGCGAGAGCGUGGGUAGCAAACA